rnacentral:rRNA from 1 species
UACAGGGGGGGCAAGCGUUGUUCGGAAUUACUGGGCGUAAAGGGCUCGUAGGCGGCCAACUAAGUCACACGUGAAAUCCCCAGGCUUAACCUGGGAACUGCGUGUGAUACUGGAUGGCUUGAAUCCGGGAGAGGGAUGCAGAAUUCCAGGUGUAGCGGUGAAAUGCGUAGAUAUCUGGAGGAACACCGGUGGUGUAGACGGCUUUCUGGACCGUAACUGACGCUGAGACACGAAAGCGUGGGUAGCAAACAGG